AGAAGAAAAGAGGAUUAGGGCUGGUGUUUGAGACCUUUCACCUUCACGUCUUCUUCCUCACGAGAACGGUGACGGUGCGACGAACCCUCUCCGCUCGCCGAUCAACUCAACCACUCGCAGCGACGGCCGAAGAAUUCAUCCCCACUCGAUCUCGAACAUCUCCGCUCAAACUCUCCCUUCGUCUCGACCUCUCCGUCCCAAGCUUUCCGCUUUACAAAAGUUCUAAAAGCCGGAUGGAGUUCCGGCGACCCAAACGGUGGAGAUGUGCAAGAAUUCCGGAGAAAUAAGCUCUAAUUAUCAGAUGCAAGAAUUCCCAUGUUGAAGCGCUUGCAGAUGAAGAGGAUUUUUCUGUUAUUUGUUUGAAGGUCGUCGAUGAAGAUGAAGAAGGUUUAAGCGUGGAGGAGAUGGAAGAAUGAAGGGAGUGAUAAAGUGCAGUGAAGAUGGUGGUGAUGAAGUAGAGUGAUUGAUGAAGAAGCAGGGUGGUUGAAGGAAUGAAUUAAGAGAAUGAGUGAAGGUGAAGAAGGUUGGAUGAAUCAGAGAAAAAUGGCUGAGAAGGUGAAGAAGAAUGGAAGAUUCCAAGAUGAGAAAAGGGAAGAUGAAGUGUGAAAAUGGUGAAGAUGAUGAAAUGUUCAGAAGUGGUUAAGAGAGAUUGAAAGUGAAUUGUGGAGUGAGGAUUGGUGAAUGAUGAAGAUGGGAGCAGAGAAGUGAAUGGUCGUGAAUGAAUGGAAGUGAAGGGAGAGUGAAGAAUGGAUCCAGAGCUGAUUCUGAAGAAGAAGCUCAAGUUAUAUAGAGGUUGAUUCUCAAGGCUUUGAGUUAUGGUUUGAUAUGGAUGUGAAGAGACGUAUGGUGCCUUGAAGAUAAAAAAACUUGAAGAUUUUGAGGAGGCUUAUGGAAGUAUGAAGAUGUGAUGCUGUUGUAGGAGAAUUAGGAUUUGUAGUAGAGUAUAUUUUUCUGAAUUUAUUGUAAUGAAGUUUGGCAAUUUGCAAUGAAUGGAUCUUGUGGAAUUUGGAUGAUGUGGUAUUGACAUUUGAUUUGAAUUUUGAAUGAUGACUUUUCCCUCCA